GACUCCCUAUGCCUGCGCAGCUGAAGAAGUCAGAGACUUGAUCUCUCCGCCAUGUUGGAUCUCAAGACCUUUUUUGUGCAGGUUUUGCAUGCUGCCUGCAGCUCUCCUCAGCAGGAACUCUGUGGUCCAGACAUCUCUGUUGCCUUGGAGUCUCCGGGCAGGUCUGCUUCACUCUCACACUCCAUCAAGGUGAUCUGAGAAUCCAAGAAGCUGAUCUUCUCUUCACUCUGUACUGGAAGGAAUACUAUGAGGACACCUGGCCUGGAUCACCAUAUUUCCAUUCAGGUCAUCAGCUAGAACAGGAAAGGAAAGAUGUCUUCAUUGAAUAAGUGGUAAAAAGAAGUCUUUCUGAGGCAAAAUGGUUGGGACUACCAACUGGCAUUAUGUGCCACUGCCCUUCUAUCAGAGCAAGGUGAAACUGGCAGCAUAAUGGGAGAAAAGGUUUGCAUGUUAUCUAUUUUUAAAAAGUGUGAUGGCAAAGACACCAGGCUUCAGAAGAUCUGAGAAAAUCAUAUACAAUAAUUUGCCCACAUAAAGGACUUUAGAAGCAACCUUGAAAGCCACUGUUGAACAUGACAGAAUUUCCAUCAGCUUGGAAUCCUGAAAGUAUGUAUGGGGAAGAUGUAGCCUCUUGCACAGGACUAACACACAUUCAAGAAACAGACUUCAUCUCAUGUCAGCCAGUAUAUAUUGGAGAAUUCAUUUGUUACUUCACUUAUUUAGCCGCAUUUGUAGAAAAUUUUCUCUAUGCAAUAGUAAAUUUUCAUUUAAUGGUCAUGAGAUAAUUGAUUUUGGCUAAAUUCUUACUAUAAAAUCCUCACUAAAAUAUUGGUUUUAAAUGUUGAACAAAAAUAAA